UACGUAGGUGACAAGCGUUGUCCGGAUUUACUGGGCGUAAAGAGCGCGCAGGCGGUCGAUCAAGUCGAGUGUGAAAGCCCCCGGCUCAACUGGGGAGGGUCAUUCGAAACUGGUCGACUCGAAGGCAGGAGAGGGUAGUGGAAUUCCCGGUGUAGUGGUGAAAUGCGUAGAUAUCGGGAGGAACACCAGUGGCGAAGGCGGUAUCCUGGACCGACACUGACGCUGAGGAGCGAAAGCCAGGGGAGCAAACGGG
rnacentral:rRNA from 1 species